ACAUUACACAAAUAUGAAGGCGGGCUGGAACCUCUCGGGGUUACAGCCUUGCUUUUGCGUACUUCUUGUUUCCUUGGUGGGUUCGCCCACCACUAGGACAAACAUAAACCUUUUGUAAUUGCAAUCAGCGUCAGUAACAAAUUAAUAAUUACAACUUUCAACAACGGAUCUCUUGGUUCUGGCAUCGAUGAAGAACGCAGCGAAAUGCGAUAAGUAGUGUGAAUUGCAGAAUUCAGUGAAUCAUCGAAUCUUUGAACGCACAUUGCGCCCUUUGGUAUUCCAAAGGGCAUGCCUGUUCGAGCGUCAUUUGUACCCUCAAGCUUUGCUUGGUGUUGGGCGUCUUGUCUCUAGCUUUGCUGGAGACUCGCCUUAAAGUAAUUGGCAGCCGGCCUACUGGUUUCGGAGCGCAGCACAAGUCGCACUCUCUAUCAGCAAAGGUCUAGCAUCCAUUAAGCCUUUUUUUCAACUUUUGACCUCGGAUCAGGUAGGGAUACCCGCUGAACUUAAGCAUAUCAAAGCGGGAAGGAAAC
rnacentral:rRNA from 1 species